GGAACCGUGCGGCGUCUUCAUAACUCUGAGGGAAACGACAGGCGUUAUGACCCCAAACAAGGACUGAGCUCGCCCCACAAUUCGGCUGUGACUUGUUAUUUGGUGGAAACUCUCUCUGCAAGUCCAAACAUGUGUGGUGUGGACACUGGAGUCUUUAUACAACUUCAGAUAUAGUCAACCAGACCUUUCGGCCCAAGCAGCAGCCAUGAAAGGUGCAGCCCGGACCAGACAGAGAAGAAAAAGGCUGCUGGAAGCGAGGAGGGCUGUUUUAGCUCCAGAAGAGAUGGACUUCAGGAGGGGCACCACCGUGGACUUGAUGUCCGAUGAGGAGGAUGCCACAGCUGAUGGGGAAGCUGGGUGGCUAGUUCGGCCCUCAUCCUUCAGGAGCCGUAAACUGUCUGCCCUGUGUUCUCUUCUACAGAAGAGACUGGAGAAAGACCCCAGAUACUGUGCAACCCACCACAAAAGGCUACAUCAUGGGCCACCCUCUGAAAGCCCUGCUCCACCCUAUUAUGAUCCUGAAGCGGCCAAAAAACAUUUGAUUUUGAAUCAAUGAUUUGAUUUGAUUUGAUUUGUUUUAAUGUGUGCAAAGCGUGUGUGUGUG
rnacentral:lncRNA from 1 species